UACGUAGGGUGCGAGCGUUGUCCGGAAUUACUGGGCGUAAAGAGCUCGUAGGUGGUUUGUCGCGUUGUCCGUGAAAACUCACAACUCAAUUGUGGGCGUGCGGGCGAUACGGGCAGACUGGAGUACUGCAGGGGAGACUGGAAUUCCUGGUGUAGCGGUGGAAUGCGCAGAUAUCUGGAGGAACACCGGUGGCGAAGGCGGCAUCCUGGACCGGUAUUGACGCUGAGGAGCGAAAGCCAGGGGAGCAAACGGG
rnacentral:rRNA from 1 species